rnacentral:rRNA from 1 species
GACAGAGGAGCCAAGCGUUGUCCGGAUUGACUGGGCGUAAAGCGCACGCAGGCGGCCGUGCACGUGGGGUGUGAAAGCGCUCGGCUUAACUGAGCGAUGCCACCUCAUACGGCAGGGCUCGAGCCCGUGAGAGGUCCACGGAAUUGCCGGUGUAGUGGUGAAAUGCGUAGAGAUCGGCAGGAACACCCAGGGGGAAAGCAGUGGACUGGCACGGUGCUGACGCUCAGGUGCGAAAGCGUGGGGAGCGAACCGG